CAUGACUCACUGUGGCUCACGUUCGGAGGUGGGACCAAGGUGGAAAUCAAACGGGAUGUGGCUAAGCCAACCGUCUCCAUCUUCCCACCAUCUACGGAACAGUUGCAGUCUGGAAGUGCCUCACUUGUGUGCUUCCUGAAUAACUUCUAUCCCAAAGAUGUCAAAGUGAAGUGGAAGGUGGAUGGUACUGAAAAACAAAAUGGCAUCCUGAACAGCCUGACAGAGCAGGACAGCAAAGACAGCACCUACAGCCUCAGCAGUACCCUGACACUGACCAAACAGGAGUAUGAAAGCCACAGUGUCUACGCAUGUGAGGUCACGCAUCAGAGCCUGUCUACACCUGAGCUCAAGAGCUUCAACAGGAAUGAGUGUUAGAGCCAGAGGCCCUGGGCAUCACCACCUGCUACCCAGGCCCAGCCUCAACUCUCCCUCUUCAGGCCUUGGGCCUUUUCCCACAAAUGACCUGCCCCUGUUGCAGUCCUCCAGGCCCCUCUCCCCACCCCAUCCUCCUCCCUCUCCCUGGCUUUAGUCAUGCUAAUAUUUGGGUGAGAAUGAAUAAAGUGAAUCUUUGCACUUGA